GACGAACGCUGGCGGCGUGCUUAACACAUGCAAGUCGAACGGUAAGGCCCUUCGGGGUACACGAGUGGCGAACGGGUGAGUAACACGUGGGUGAUCUGCCCUGCACUUCGGGAUAAGCCUGGGAAACUGGGUCUAAUACCGGAUAGGACCACUGCCUGCAUGGGUGGUGGUGGAAAGCUUUUGCGGUGUGGGAUGGGCCCGCGGCCUAUCAGCUUGUUGGUGGGGUGAUGGCCUACCAAGGCGACGACGGGUAGCCGGCCUGAGAGGGUGACCGGCCACACUGGGACUGAGAUACGGCCCAGACUCCUACGGGAGGCGGCAGUGGGGAAUAUUGCACAGUGGGCGCAAGCCUGAUGCAGCGACGCCGCGUGAGGGAUGACGGCCUUCGGGUUGUAAACCUCUUUCAGCACCGACGAAGCGCAAGUGACGGUAGGUGCAGAAGAAGGACCGGCCAACUACGUGCCAGCAGCCGCGGUAA
rnacentral:rRNA from 1 species